CUGAUAGAGGCUACGGGCAAACAAGCAACCGUUCUUUGCCCUAGCGCUGCUCCCCUGCCCCGCGGUUAAAGCCAGAGUUGGGACCAGCAGGCCGGAGGAAAGCGGAGGAAGCUUCUAGGCGGGAUUCCCUGCGUGGCCAGGCUCUAUAUAGAGCCUGGCUGGGCCUCAGCCCAGGUCCCAGCCUCAGGUGCCCAGUGAGGCCAGCAAAGGCCUCCUUGCCCUCUGUGUGGGCACACAAAAACGGCGCGAAGGCCCCCUAAUCGGAUCUCAUAAGCUCUGGUUGCCGACCCGCGGAGUAAGAACGCAAGGCCGCCGCCAUCCGGUCGUGAUCAUAACCGAGGCCUUGUCUGCAGCGGCACACCAGGCCCAGAUCCACAGCCCCCGACAGCUGUGCCACGCGAGCCCUUCCUUGGCAGAUUCCGACCACAACUUGAGCACGCAGAAAAAAUAAAUAAAUAAAUAAGAACCCCGUCCCAGGCUCUCCCAAGCCAGCCCUGGGUCCCUCCCGGAGGAAGAGAUAGGAGGACAGGAAGUGGAGAUAGAAAACUGGGCACAGAGAGACCCAAGAUGAAAGACAAAUGAACGGAAGGAAAGAAAGAAGGAAGAAGUAAAGGUAAGGAUAAAGAAAAAGAAGAAAGAGGAAGAACGGAGGGAAGAAAAGAAGGAAGCAGAGUCAAAGGCGACUCCUGAGAGCAGAGGGCGGCUUACAGAGAGAAGGGUAAGUGACAAGGCCAGGAUCCCAGCCCCUUUCCAGCCUGUCCCUCCUAGUUUAGCCUGAGUCUCUCAAGGGGAUCUUCCCUGAUCUUCUACCCUGGAUUAGGGCUGGUUGUGUCCCAGCCUUGCAGGAGAAUGGCCUGGAGUCGGGGGAGGCCCAGAAUGGGAACGCGUGCCCCUGACCUUGAAUGGCUCCGGGCCCAGAAUUCCUACCACGCCCCUGGCGUCCGCCGAGGAGCAGCUAACCUGAUCGUACCUGCUCGAGGCCAGGUGGGGAUGGGGAUUGCGGCCAACAGCUUGGCAAAGCGCUGAGAAGGAGGCAGGGACGAGGCUCCUGCGCGGGAAAAGCCGAGGUUGCCACCGCAGGCCUGGCACGACCAGGGCCCGGAUGCCCCGCCCGGCCCGGCCCCCGCGCGCACAGGUACCUGGAGACGAUUUCAACUGAAGUAAUGAAGGCAGUGUCGUGCUGUCGAGAGAAAGGUGGAUCCCAACAACAGGAAACUACCUAAAUCACCGACCAGUUCUGGUGCUGCCAGCGCGGGGCUGCCUCGCCCGCCGCCGCCGCCGCCGCCGCCGCCGCCACCGCCGCAGCCAAGGGAGAACCCUGCGAUCGCGCCCGGCCCGGCCCCUUGCCAACCUGCGCCCGCGCUGCCAGUGUGUGUUCCCCGCUGCCGCUAAGGCAUCGAGGCGGGAGAAGCCACCGGCCCCGCUCCCCUCUCAACUGAAACCACUGGUCCAAGACAGCCACAAUCCAGAUAUACUAGCAAGUCAUAAAACUGAACAAAAGCCGACAAACCUUACGGCACCAGGGCUAUAGGGUCCAGACAAAUUACGACCGUCUAGGUUUGACCCUUUUAUGCAUGUAACUUCACAGUAUAAAGGAAACCCAAACAAUGUCUCCCUUCUCUAGUCUAUUCCG